rnacentral:tRNA from 1 species
AGGCUCGUAGCUCAGUUGGCUAGAGCACCACCUUGACAUGGUGGGGGUCGUUGGUUCGAAUCCAAUCGAGCCUACCA